UGAAUACGAGACGCUAAGGCGUCGAAGUAGUGUAUGUCAUACUUCCAAGAAAAGCUUGCACUGUCAUAGAUAAAAAACGCCUGUACCAUAACCGACACAGGUGGGUAGGUAGAGUAUACUAAGGGGCGCGAGAUAACUCUCUCUAAGGAACUCGGCAAAAUAACUCCGUAACUUCGGGAGAAGGAGUGCCUUAUUCGUAAGGUUGCAAUAACAAGAUCCAAGCAACUGUUUAUCAAAAACACAGGUCUCCGCUAAGUCGUAAGACGAUGUAUGGGGGCUGACGCCUGCCCAGUGCCAGAAGGUUAAAGAAGUUGGUUAGCAAUUGCGAAGCUGAUAACUGAAGCCCUGGUGAACGGCGGCCGUAACAAUAACGGUCCUAAGGUAGCGAAAUUCCUUGUCGGGUAAGUUCCGACCCGCACGAAAGGCGUAAUGAUUUGGAUACUGUCUCGGAGAGGGGCUCGGUGAAAUAGACUUGUCUGUGAAGAUGCGGACUACCUGCACCAGGACAGAAAGACCCUAUGAAGCUUUACUGUAACUUGAAAUUGAAAUUGGACUUUAUUCGCGCAGUAUAGGUGGGAGGCGUUGAUUAUAAUCUUGUGGGAUUAUUGGAGCCAUCAGUGAGAUACCACUCUUGUAAUGUUAGAUUUCUAACUUUGAAUCAUUAUCUGGUCAAAGAACAGUUUCAGGCGGGCAGUUUGACUGGGGCGGUCGCCUCCUAAACGGUAACGGAGGCGUACAAAGGUUUCCUCUGAACGGUUAGAAAUCGUAUCUAGAGUGUAAAGGCAUAAGGAAGCUUGACUGUGAGACCUACAAGUCGAGCAGGGACGAAAGUCGGUCUUAGUGAUCUGACGGUACUGAGUGGAAAGGCCGUCACUCAACGGAUAAAAGUUACUCUAGGAUAACAGGCUGAUCUCCCCCAAGAGUUCACAUCGACGGGGAGGUUUGGCACCUCGAUGUCGGCUCAUCGCAUCCUGGGGCGGUAGUACGUCCCAAGGGUUGGGCUGUUCGCCCAUGAAAGCGGUACGCGAGCUGGGUUCAGAACGUCGUGAGACAGUUCGGUCCAUAUCCGGUGUAGGCGUUAGAAUAUUGAGAGGAGCCUUCUUUAGUACGAGAGGACCGAGAAGGACAUACCUCUGGUGUACCAGUUAUCGUGCCAACGGUAAACGCUGGGUAGCUAUGUAUGGAGUGGAUAACCGCUGAAAGCAUCUAAGUGGGAAGCCCACCUCAAGAUAAGUAUUCUCAUC
rnacentral:rRNA from 1 species